UACGAAGGGGGCUCGCGUUGUUCGGAUUUACUGGGCGUAAAGCGCACGUAGGCGGAUUGUUAAGUCAGGGGUGAAAUCCCGGAGCUCAACUCCGGAACUGCCUUUGAUACUGGCAAUCUUGAGGCUGGAAGAGGUUGGUAGAAUUCCCAGUGUAGAGGUGAAAUUCGUAGAUAUUGGGAAGAAUACCAGUGGCGAAGGCGGCCAACUGGUCCAGAUCUGACGCUGAGGUGCGAAAGCGUGGGGAGCAAACAGG
rnacentral:rRNA from 1 species